AAUACAAGGCAGGUAACAGCUGCCCGAUAUGCGAAUGGUUACAACGCGAGCCGCGCAGGGUUCGACCAAGGUCGCAGACCACGAGCGAGUGAAUGGCAUUUUAACGACAGCCCGGUAGUCGAAAUUUCUUCAAAGCGACAACUACUUACAGAAGCGCUUGAAACCGCUACGGGCGAUGUUGACAGCCAAUGCAGAAUAUGCAAAAGCGCAAGAAAUUGAACCCAUGAAUCUAGCAAAUCCUGGGCCUAUUAUUGGCAAACCCUUGUGGGACGGCAAGUGUAGCGUGAUAGACCGACACACAUGACAGCCCAAAUGCCCUCAAACAGCGCGAAGUGUUUCCAGGCGCCCCGCUAUAGCGCAUUGCCGGUGACAGAAAAGUAACCGAUCACUGUCGGGUAGCAGAUUCAGCCGUCUAUUAAAGCAAAAACCCCGCCGGUUCACCCGGCGGGG
rnacentral:sRNA from 2 species